rnacentral:tRNA from 1 species
UCGCGGGAUAGAGCAGUCUGGUAGCUCGUCGGGCUCAUAACCCGAAGGUCGUUGGUUCGAAUCCGGCUCCCGCCACCAA